UGUCCCAAUCCACUUACUUUGAGUUUUUUUGGGUCAAACAGACUCUGGAGGAGGUGCCAGUGUGCGUGGCCAUUGCUCGGUCCGCUGCGUCCAGUAUCAAUUACUGUGAAAGUUUCAACAACCACACCAGACUCAAAGUGAUCAAGAGCGAUCAUGCCUUUAAUCUUUCCCUCUCCAACAUCCAACAGUCAGAUGUAGCCACUUACUACUGUGGAGCUUACCUUUUUAAAAACCUAUUUUUUGGAAAUGGAACCAGCGUUAUUCUUGAAGACAAAACAAACGUAGCAUCUGAAUUUAACAAGACUAGUGACGUAAACAUGGGAAAAUCAGGACAACCCUCUGUGUUUUACAUGGUGCUUGUUUUGGUUGUAACAAACACAGCAUCUGUCAUUGUGAUCGGGGUCCUCAUUUAUAAGGGGAAAAGGAAGCUCUGCUCUGGAGCUUCCUCAUUAUCCAACAUGGCUGACAAUAUGGACCACCAGCAUGCAGACACACUGAAUUAUGCAGCUUUGAGUUUUGGUCACAGCAGAAGUGGGAGAGUGAGGAGAGAUCUGGACCCUGCUGUGGUCUAUGCAGGA